UACAGAGGGGGCAAGCGUUAUUCGGAAUUAUUGGGCGUAAAGGGCGCGUAGGCGGCUUGGCAAGUGGAUGGUGAAAUCCCUCGGCUUAACCGAGGAACUGCCGUCCAAACUGCUUAGCUUGAGACCGGGAGAGGUGAGUGGAAUUCCCAGUGUAGCGGUGAAAUGCGUAGAUAUUGGGAGGAACACCAGUGGCGAAGGCGGCUCACUGGACCGGUACUGACGCUGAGGCGCGAAAGCGUGGGGAGCAAAGCGGG
rnacentral:rRNA from 1 species